CAUCGACAAGCAAAGGAAAGAAAAUGAGAUGGAAACAUGGAAUACCUUGGUACAUGAGCCAGGGUCUGAUAGUUUUGACCAUAUAACACCUAUACCCUCUCGG